UACGAAGGGGGCUGGCGUUGUUCGGAAUUACUGGGCGUAAAGCGUGCGCAGGCGGCUUCUCAAGUCAGGGGUGAAAGCCCAGAGCUCAACUCUGGAAUUGCCUUUGAGACUGAGUGGCUUGAGUACGAGAGAGGUGAGUGGAAUUCCCAGUGUAGAGGUGAAAUUCGUAGAUAUUGGGAAGAACACCGGUGGCGAAGGCGGCUCACUGGCUCGUAACUGACGCUCAUGCACGACAGCGUGGGGAUCAAACAGG
rnacentral:rRNA from 1 species